rnacentral:piRNA from 1 species
UCACAUAACUUCUGCGGUGCUAGGAUAGC